GACAAGAAGAAUGUAUCUAAACAAUGGACCAAAUUAUCUUGCACAUGUUGAUGGGUACUACAAGUUGAAGCCAUUUGGCUUCGCUAUACAUGGUGCAAUGUGUGGAUUUUCAAGACGAAUACUAUGGCUUAAAGUUGCAAGAACAAACAAUGACUCCUUUGUUGUAGCAUCAUAUUUCUUGAAAUUCCUGGAGGAAAUAAAUAGUGCUCCAAGGUGUGAGACUUGAUGCUGGAACUGAGAAUAUAUACAUUGAGG